GUUAGGGUUAGGGUUAGGGUUAGGGUUAGGGUUAGGGUUAGGGUUAGGGUUAGGGUUAGGGUUACUACUUAAUUCUUACUCCCUGCAAAGACACUGCAGGAUUUGGUGCUCUUACUGUUUGGCUGGAGGCGUCCAUGCUGGAUUAGAGGGCGAUUCCAUAGGCCCUCAUUUCCAUGUUUCUUUUGACAGUCCACAGGAUGCUGCUGAUGGAGUGGGGGAACCAAACCCAAACCAAAACUAAACCACCAUGAAGAGAAUCAAUUUGUGUGGUGGCAAUUGUUCUCACACUUGGGGUCAGGACCAUUCUUAUUAUCUUAUAUUUAAAACUCUUUUUAAAGAGUUUUUUUUCAUUCCGUGAAGGUUUUUUUUUUAAAUUUUUCAUUAUAUAUUUCUUUACUUACAUAGUUUAUUCCCCUUCCCAAUUUCCUGUCCAUAAGCCCCCAUUCCCUCCCCUCCCCUCCCCUCCCCCUCCCUCAUAGGGUAUUCCCCCUAUACAUCCCCCUUAUUGCUCUCCCCCACAUUCCCCUGCACUGGGGGUCCAACCUUGGCAAGACCAAGGGCUUCCCCUUCCACUGGUGACCCAUCAAGGCUAUUCUCUGCUACAUAUGCAGUUGGACCCCUGGGUCAGUCCAUGUAUAGUCUUUCAGUAGUGGUUUAGUCCCUGGAAGCUCUGGUGGGUUGGCAUUGUUGUUCUUAUGGGGUUGCAUAAAACUCUUCAACUCUUUCAAUACUUCCUCUAAUUCCCCCCAAGGGGGUCCUAUUCUCAGUUCGGUGGUUUGCUGUUAGCACUGGCCUCUGUAUUGGACGUGCUCUGGAUGUGUCUCUCAGGAGAGAUCUAUAUCUGGUCCCUUUUCACGUGCAUAUUUUAGCUUCAUCGAUCUUAUCUAGUUUUGGUGGCUGUAUAUGUAUGGGCCACAUGUGGGUCAAUUCUGUGAAGGUUUUAUCUGUACUUUUCAGCUUUGUCUGCAAUGGAAAGGCAUGUCUAGUCUUAAUUAGUCCCUUUCACUGGACUCCAUCACAUGAGUGGGCGGCACUGUUUUAGAUAAAUGAAGGGGACAAAAUCCUGGUAAUGCUACACUUUAGAAUAUAAAAGAUUACCAGAUAUAGAAGAUUUGGUCUACAAAAAAACCCAAAAAACAAACACCAAAACAACAGAACAACAACAACAACAGAACAUUUUACCACCAGGAGCCUGUGACAAUCCCUAGAAAGAUUUAUAUCAGUGUUUAGAUGUGAAUUUACUUGUUCUCUAAGAACUCAGAUUUGAACUCUCAACAUGUACUAUGCGGAUUCUGUGAUACUCUACAAAGUUUCUUAUUCACAAAAUACAACACUAGUUUGUUCUUUGCUAAUGAAACUUGAAUAAAGCAAAACAUCUGAAUGAAGAAAUCUCAGGAUAGUAUGUGCUUUUUUUAAGACAAGCAUUUACAGAAAGAACCGAGUACUAUUGGUUUCUGGUAUGUAAUUCCAGCUUUUUAGUAAUAGGCUAAUCAUGAUCUUAUCCUUGAUGUCAACCAUCUUGCUGGCUUAUUGGCCCUGCUUCAAACAUGGUUAGACUAAGAUCUUCACCAGGAUUAACACUUAGCUUCUAGGACUGUAGAGAGAUUGAGUGUCACACUUCUAAGUGCUUUUCUGAGUAGCUUGUAUGCGUGGAUGGGGUGGGAUGUUUAAAUGGAUGGCAUUUGUUCUACAUAUAUGAAUUUUGGAAAUUGUGGAGUUUUAUUUUUCUUUUCACUUCUUUUCCUUUCCUUUCCUUUCUUCUCUUCUUUUCCUUCCUGCCUUCCUUCCUUCCCUCUUAUUAAUUUUUGUCUAUGUUAAGUACAUUUUAGCCAUCUUCAGACACACCAGAAGAGGGCAUCAGAUCCCAUUAAAAAUGGUCGUGAGCCACCAUGUGGUUGCUGGGAAUUGAACUCAGGACCUCUGCAAGAGCAGUCAGUGCUCUUAACCGCUGAGCCAUCUCUCCGGCCCCUGCAGUUUCUUGUAUCUUCUAUGUAGUUUUAUGAUCUAAAAGCUGAUGACGAAAUAGGAAAAAGUAGAGUAUACAUCAUUCCUCUCUUAAAAUACAAGAUGAUUUCUUAUGAGGUUCUUCCUAUUACUGUUGAAUAUGCUCACCAACAGUGGAUAGUGUAGUUCGAAUUAUGAAAUAGCAGGUUUCUGUGUCACUAGAUAUUAACUCAUAAGCAGGCAACUGUGUCUUAGGAGAUUCAGUUCUGUUUCUUAUACAUAAAAUAAAAUAGUCAGGUAAUAACACAGUUUUACCCAAAUGUAGCUCUUUGGAUGGGCCAAGUCAUCAGAGGAAAGGUGAAAGAAAGUCAGUGAAGGGCAUGGUAGGGAUAGACCCAAGAAUGUCAAGAAGCCAGAGUGUCCUCACUCCAAACACUGUUUCUAAAGAGAGAGGCUGAAAAGCCUUUACAAACGAGAGGAAGACACCAGGAUUCUGGGUCAAAGAUAAGCAGAGACUCCAGACCAAACCAGAUAUCUAAACAGUUCUUUCUCAGAAUUCCAGUGUCUGCCCCUGAUUGAGUUUAUCGGAGCAAAUCCAUGUGGAUUCCUAUGACUUAUUUUAGGGGAUACAUUAGUAACAGAAAUAAUAGUAAAAAUACUCUUACCAUGCUGAGUAAAAUUUUAAUGGUGUAUCCACUUCUUAAUUUCUUAGGCUUUUGUUUUUUUUGUUUCGUUGGAGGCGGGGCCUUAAUUUAGUCAAGACCAAUCUGACCAAUCUGCCCGCCUUGCUGUAGUACAGACUGACUUUGGGUUCAUAGAAAUGCUGCUACCUCUGUUUCCCGAGUGCUGGGGUUAUGGUAGAGAGGCCCAUGCCAAGAGUAACUCUCCAUUGCUCUAAUUUAUUAAAAUCAUAUAAAACCUGUGUAAAUUCGGUAAUUGCUCUUGUGUCACUAAAGGUGAGACCGCUAAGUCUCAGGGAAUGUAAAGACUGCACAGUGAAGGAAAGGCAGACCUGGAGCUUGAGACCACUGUCUAUCUGUCUCUAGUCUUAUGCUUCCAAGUGUUUUGGUCUGGCCUGGGUUGACAUAGUGUAACUCACCCUCAGCUCCUUACCCUGCCUUUCAUUGGCACCAGCAUUGGGAAGACCAAUAGUUAGAGUUCAAACCAAAAAUGCUAAGUGAAUAGUUCAAUAAUUGGUGUUUGCCAAAGUGGUUUUUCUCUCCAGCCCCCUUUUAGACACAGCCCAACUACAGUGUUUUAAUUGCACAGCAUUUGAAUAUAAUUUCACUCUAUUUAUAAUUAAAACAAUCGAAUAAACCAGGAAGUAGAAGGCUAUUUGAAGAGCAACCAGUAGUCAUAAAUCUGUCAAGACCAAGUAAAGGAUGCAGCACACCAAAAAGACAAACCUUUAUGUUUUGCCAAAUAUUGAAACAUACAAAAAUCCCUAAUGCACGAACCAUGUAUCUUUAAGAAACAGUGAUGACAUGGGCUAUUUUGACAGUUCUUCAAAUACCCUUUUUUGGAGUUCUUUCUUUCUGUGACGAUCCUAAACCACGAACGACCCAUGCCUUGUCCCAAACACCAUUAGGUACCACAGAUAAUGUAGACUUCAGUAUUUAACUCAGGAAACAUUUGUUCUUAUGAGAAGUGAGAUUGGUUUCCUUGAUUUAGAAAUUAUAAACAAUUAUCCAAGUUCUGUGAGAUUUGGUAUUGUCCUGUGUGUAUUUUUUGUUGAAAUAAUACCUUUUCAACCAACUUUUUGGGAAGACACAGUGAAGUGACAAAUGGACUACUUUGGACACUAAAGAUAUUUGAGGAUAUCUACCUUUAAGAAAUAUUGUGAUAAAGUAGCUGAACUAUUUAGAUGCAAACGAAAUCAUGCAACACCCUUCCUUAGAUAUUUUUGUUACGCUAGUGUAUUGGUCUUGUGAUUGUGUAACAAGCUUUCUGUUCUUCUGGAGUGUUCACUGCUGAUAUUUACCCUCGUUAAAGACAAUCAGUUACUAUUUCCUCAUGACGCACCUCCUUAACUGAUCCCUGAGUUGCAGAUGCUAUGCUCCUAGGUUCUGACGUGGAAUCCGCAGAAGGAAAUCAGAUACAGUUGGUGAUGUGUGAUAAGACGGUGUUCACAGAGACAUUAAUAACAGAGCUGAGCUGUGGCAGAUGAACACAUACUUUCCAGGUGAAAAGACAGAGACAACGAAGUGGAACAGCUUGGCAUGCAUCUCUGCUGUAAAACCCCUCACGGCAUACAAGUGACUUCUAUUCAAUGUGGCAUGAAUGGCAAGUAAAUGAAGGCUUUCAGUGUAAUGAGUUUGAAAAGGCUAACGGGAGGUUCCUGGACCAGAGGCUCACAAGUUAAGGGGAUUGCAGCUUACCACUUGCCUAUCAAAAGUGUAUGACUAACAGCAGGAAGGAUGAGCAGAUUCGUGUAUCAGAAGAAUACGGGAUGGAGUAUGGGCAGAUGUGCCUUGGGGAAGAAGCUGUAAGGCACAGGGUACAACUUGGAAAAGAUCACUGUCUGUGAGCACGGUCAUGUGACCUUUACUUUGUACUAGACAAGGUGGCUGGGCGCUGCCCAGGUGGUCUGCAAGCAGAUUCAAGGCCCGAUAUCCAAGUGGGAGCUGAUGAAAGUGAGAAGGGCUAUCUAAAUGGUGGGCUGAUAUCUUUGAUAUUAUUCUGGGAGGAAUCAUGGGAACAUUGGAAUAGUGAUGAGGUCCUUCUAGUCUUUAAUUAGUUUAAUUCAUAGUCCUUGGGAGAUAUGCAGGUUUGAUGUCCAGUGGAGAUGUGAGUUUGGAACUCAGGAUAAAGGUCUUAGAGGUGUCAGCAAAAGCCCUCUCCAUGAGAUGGAACCCAUCGCUGACACUGCUUGGGUGACAAGAACAUGAGAUUAGUUGUGUCAGAGACCUAAGGUAAGACCAAAUACUGCUGUUCUGCUAUAGGAAAUUAGCAAUAAAAUGCCUUCUAAUGAUGUUCUGCUAUACUCAUAGACCAGCCCCUUGCUCAGACAUCAUCAAAAAAGUUUUUUUCUGCAGCAGAUGGAACAAAUACAGAGGCCCACAACUGGACAAUGUGCACACACAAUCAAGGUGUCGCUAUCAAAUCUCUCCCCUCAAAGCUCAGGAAACCCUGCUGAAGAGGAGGUGCUUAUUUGUUUUCUAAUAACACAGAGAAAGAAAGAGUCUGGAUUUCAGUGGGAGGACUUGGGAGGGAAACCAUAAUCAGAAUACAGUGUAUUAAAAAAAUUCAACAAAUACAAUAGAAAAAGAAGAACUAUCAGCAAUACAUUGGAUAAUAUGAUUCAGGACUGGUAUGAAGAGUAAUUGCCAAAUAAACUCCACAAAACCCAAACCGAACCAAACCAAACCAAACCUAAAACUCUCACUAAAGAUGAGGAAAGGAACCAGAACUGACAAAGAAGAGAUUUAAGAAGCUACCCAGAGAUUUAUCAUUAUGAGUGCCAAGAAGGUCAUUGGCUAUUUUCACAACUCUUAUCAGGCAUUCAAUCAAUUCUGGAAGAAAGACUAAAAAUACAUGGUUGCUGUGUAUGUUUGAUGUAUGUAGGGCUGCCUGCUUGUCUGCAUGGGUAUCAUGCGUGUGCAGUGCUCAUGGAGGCAAGAAGAGGAAAGUGGAUACCUUAGGACUGGAGUUGUGGGCAGUUGUGAGCCAUCACCUAAGAUUUGAGAACUGAACUGAGGCCCCUGCAAGAACAGCAAGUGCUUCUCAACUCCUAGCAACCUCUCCAUCCUGACUGUAUGCAUUUUGAGGGAGACACGUAUCUGGAAAUGCUUGGAGCUCAGGAGAAACCCCAGCUGUUUGGAUUCAGGAUGCUCUUCGGUUCUUCCCUUUGAACGCUGCCCACACUCUCUCUUGAUCAGUCACUAGUAUUUUGUGACAUUCACAAGACUCCUUGUUUGUGAGCACAUUUCUCUCUCAAAAAUCAUUUAAUUAUUUUAUACAUGAAGAAAAUUGUUCUUCAACAGGAAAAAUGAGACCAGGCAUGGAAUAGGAAAACUAGAAGAGAACUAUACUGUACUGGUUGACUGUGUGUGUCAACUUGACACAAGCUGGAUCAAGGGUGGGGGGGGGCCCACUGUAGGUGGUGCCAUUCCUGGAUUGGUAGUCCUGGGUUCUAUAAGAAAGCAAGCUGAGCAAGCCAGGGGAAGCAAGCCAGCAGCACCCUCCAUGGCCUCUGCAUCAGCUCCUGCUUCCUGACCUACCUGAGUUCCAGUUCUGAGUUCCUUUGGUGAUGAAUAGCAAUGUGGAAGUGUAAGCUGAAUAAACUCCUUUCCAACUUG